rnacentral:rRNA from 1 species
UCUAGAAGCUUCGGCAAUGGGGGAAACCCUGACCGAGCGACGCCGCGUGCAGGACGAAGGUCUUCGGAUCGUAAACUGCUUUCGCUGGGGGAGAAAUGCCUCGGGGUGAAUAAUCUCGAGGCUAGACGGUACCCAGUAAAGAAGCUCCGGCUAAGUCCGUGCCAGCAGCCGCGGUAAUACGGAGGGUGCAAGCGUUAUCCGGAUUCACUGGGUUUAAAGGGUGCGUAGGUGGGUUGGUAAGUCAGUGGUGAAAUCCCCGAGCUUAACUUGGGAACUGCCAUUGAUACUAUCAGUCUUGAAUACCGUGGAGGUCAGCGGAAUAUGUCAUGUAGCGGUGAAAUGCUUAGAUAUGACAUAGAACACCAAUUGCGAAGGCAGCUGGCUACUCGGAUGUUGACACUGAGGCACGAAAGCGUGGGGAGCAAACA